CAGCUGCUGCUGGUUUCAUGGACGGAUCAGUUUUGGAAAGAGUUGUACACAGACGGUCUAAUGCUGCUGCUCUUCAGCUUCAGAGUGAGUUGUCAGCUGGUAAGCCUCGAGUGAAGGAGGUGCUGGGAUUGGCCAGGAGAAAUGGUUGAGAUGUGGAGCUCCUGGGCCCGCUGCUCCACUUCUACUAUAUAUACUUGCUUCCUGUGGUCUACUGGGCUCUUUCUGCUCCUGGUUCUAGCCGCUGACGCCACAUGCACCAUUUAUGUUAGCUUCUUUUGUUAGUGCACUUUCCAACACCUUGCACCACAUCAUUUCCACAUAGCCACAUACACACUACUGAUAUUACAGACUAGACACACUCCA